GAGGGUUGCAGAGUGGUUUUGG
rnacentral:miRNA from 1 species